UUCUCCGUUGUUACACCCAAAUCGUUGAUCACAAUCGUGCCACUACGGAUUCUUCCGCUGCUGUAUAAGUGACAUUGAAAGAGUUUGACUCUAUCAAAGUUCAAACACUGAGAUGCAAAGGAGGAGACCACGAAUCAAUUUGUGUUUGUUUUGGAAAAGAAGGAAUUUCUCAACUCUGGAAGCUUGAAAAUUUGCUGUAUUGCUUCUUCCUGUGAGAAAUUGGGUAAAGAACUUCUCCUCCUUGCUCUCACAUCUAGCUUUGUAAUGAAGGCUAAGUACUGAGACCCUUUCUAUUGCAUUUCACAAGAAUAUUGGCUACAGCUAUCCAUUAGUCUGCAUCCAAUUCAAAGUCUCCAUCGUUUUGUGGGUUUAAAAUAGAACAGCAGCUAAAGUGCCAAAGCUCCAGAGUUUAAACUCAAGGGGAAACGUUCUAGACGGUUAGAGAGGUACAGUUAAGAGUUUGGAAGACAGGUUGUGCUAUUUAGACUUUUGUUGUGCUAUCUACAACAACUCAGCUGAAAUUUCAAAGGAGCUAUCAUCUGUUGCAAAUGAUGAAUCUGACUUUGUAGACACAUUUGAGGAGCUUAUGUAAAAUAGUUGGUCGCCACUACAAGCCUAAACCAUUUGUCAAGCCUAACCAUGUUUGCAAUAUGUACAUAAACACCUACUAUGGAUAGCAUAUCUAACUUUGAAAUCUUAAACCAUUUGUCAAGCCUAACCAUGUUUGCAAUAUGUACAUAAACACCUACUAUGGAUAGCAUAUCUAACUUUGAAAUCUUAAACCAUUUGUCAAGC